UUAAUAAUGGUUUGUAUCUGUCACUUAGCAGUAGUGAACUAUGAAUGGGGGCGGUGCCUCUCAUCUUGGUUUCAGGUCAGGGAAAAUGAAACUUAAAUCCUCAUCAUCACAAUAUCAUCAACUGAGGCAGCAGAGACAGACGGGACAAAGUAACGGACACCCUCUUCAUUGAGUUGAAUUGAGUUCAGGAUCAACAACAGAGGAAAAGUACAACAACAUGAUGACUUCAGCUCCUGAUAUGCCAGAUUGUGGGCCGAUGGUGGUUACUGUUGGAUUGUUGACGUUGAUCAUUGGAAUCGUUGUUGGAGUGAAACUGAAGGAGGCCACAGACCAGUUCAUUCAGCAACAUAAAUGGAAGCUCAUUGCCUUUGUCACUGUUUUUAUUGUUGUUUCUAUCAUGGUGCUUCUGAACUUGAAGAAACAGGAAGUUUAGAGGGAUACUGAAGCAUGGCUCCUACAAUUAGCAAACACUUCUCAGUCAGUCACACACAAGUAUUGAAUGAAUGACUGAUUUGUACGUUGUUAUGUACAUUUGUUAUACAUAGCAGUAAAAUACUUUUCCAAAAAUGCAUGUGUCCAUUGUUGAUGAAAAGGUGGCGGCAGGUAACCUAGCUGUUGAGAUUGUUGGGCCAGUAACUGAAAGGUUGCUGGUUUGAAUCCGCAAGCAGA